UGGGGAAUAUUGCACAAUGGGGGAAACCCUGAUGCAGCAACGCCGCGUGCGGGAUGACGGCCUUCGGGUUGUAAACCGCUUUCAGCCAUGACGAAGCUUUUGUGACGGUAGUGGCAGAAGAAGCACCGGCUAACUACGUGCCAGCAGCCGCGGUGAUACGUAGGGUGCGAGCGUUGUCCGGAAUUAUUGGGCGUAAAGAGCUUGUAGGCGGUUUGUCGCGUCGAAAGUGUAAACUCAGUGCUUAACGCUGAGCCUGCUUUCUAUACGGGCUGACUAGAGGAAGGUAGGGAGGAAUGGAAUUCCCGGUGGAGCGGUGGAAUGCGCAGAUAUCGGGAGGAACACCAGUGGCGAAGGCGGUUCUCUGGACCUUUCCUGACGCUGAGAAGCGAAAGCGUGGGUAGCAAACAGG
rnacentral:rRNA from 1 species